UGGCGCGGCCGGUCCCAGCGCGGCGGCCGCAGGUAGGGCGGCUCGUCCCGUCUGUGCCUGCGGGAGGCCGCUGCUCUUUGGUGGCGGGGGGCGGCGCGAGCGGGCGCGGGGCUCCGCGGGCGGCCGUUAACCGCCAUCCCUCUCGCCCAGGUGCCGGCGGCCGCCAUGAGCAGCGGGACGCGGGCCCGCAGCAGGAGGAGGGCAGCCCGCCCCAGCCCGCCUUCCCCCGCCAGCUCCGAGGGCGAGGAGCCCCUCAGUUCCUCCUCGUGCUCCCAGCUCUCCCCCGCUUCCCGGCACAGCUCCCGCAGCUGCGAGGAGGAGGAGGAAGAGGGGGAAGUGGCCUCCCAGAGCCAGAAAGGCAAUAGAAAGGCUGAAGACUCUGAAAUAACAGGGGGAAGAAAUCGUUCACCUUUGAAAGAUAGUCUUUCACCAUGGGAAGAAUGGUUCAUUUGCAAAGAGAAGGAACUACGUGCCCGCUUACAAGCUAGAGCUCUGGAGGAAAUUAAUCUACAGCUUGAGAAAAUGAAAGAAAAGCAAGAAUUUGAAAGAAGGAGAAGGAUAGCUGAAGAGAAGCACAAGGAAUGGGUGCAAAAAAAAAAAGAAGAGGUAAAUACUGCUUUGGUUGUAAAUAUUAUAGCACAUGCUGUGCUUUAGUAAACCUAUGUAAAAUUUGCCCAGGCUUUUUGAACAACCAUGUUUUUACUUUGCUGAAUAAUGGCUGUUUUAAUUGAAAAUUAUAAAAUCACAUCAACAGAGUUUAACAUUUUUCC
rnacentral:lncRNA from 1 species